rnacentral:rRNA from 1 species
UACGUAGGAGACGAGCGUUGUCCGGAGUUACUGGGCGUAAAGGGUGCGCAGGUGGCGGCGCGCGUGGGGGGGUGAAAUCGCCCGGCUUAACUGGGCGGGGGCCUUCCAGACGGCGUGGCUUGAGCAGCGGAGGGGGACGUGGAAUUCCGGGUAGAGCGGUGAAAUGCGUAGAGAUCCGGAGGAACACCGACGGCGCAGGCAGCGUCCUGGCCGCUUGCUGACACUGAGGCACGAAAGCUGGGGGAGCAAACAGG